rnacentral:rRNA from 1 species
AGCGAACGCUGGCGGCAGGCCUAACACAUGCCAGUCGAACGAACCUUUCGGGGUUAUUGGCGGACGGGGGAGUAACACGUGGGAACGUGCCUUUAGGUUCGGAAUAACUCAGGGAAACUUGUGCUAAUACCGAAUGUGCCCUUCGGGGGAAAGAUUUAUCGCGUUUAGAGCGGCCCGCGUCUGAUUAGCUAGUUGGGUGAGGUAAUGGCUCACCAAGGCGACGAUCAGUAGCUGGUCUGAGAGGAUGAUCAGCCACAUUGGGACUGAGACACGGCCCAAACUCCUACGGGAGGCAGCAGUGGCGAAUCUUGCGCACUGGGCGAAAGUCUGAAGCAGCCAUGCCGCGUGAAUGAUGAAGGUCUUAGGAUUGUAAAAUUCUUUCACCGGGGACGAUAAUGACGGUACCCGGAGAAGAAGCCCCGGCUAACUUCGUG